GAUGAACGCUAGCGGAAGGCAUAAUACAUGCAAGUCGAACGGAUGUAGCAAUACAUUAGCGGCGCACGGGUGCGUAACGCGUAUGCAACCUACCUUCAUCAGGGGGAUAACUACCCGAAAGGGUGGCUAACACCGCAUAAUACGAUUGAGUGGCAUCACUUGAUAUUUAAAUCUGAGGAGGAUGAAGAUGGGCAUGCGUCUGAUUAGAUAGUUGGCGAGGUAAAGGCUCACCAAGUCUACGAUCUUUAGGGGCUCUGAGAGGAGAAUCCCCCACACUGGCACUGGGAUACGGGCCAGACUCCUACGGGAGGCAGCAGUAGGGAAUAUUGGGCAAUGGGCGCAAGCCUGACCCAGCCACGCCGCGUGCAGGAAGGAGGCCCUCUGGGUUGUAAACUGCUUUUGACCGGGAAGAAAAGAACCUUUGCGAAGGGAGUUGACGGUACCGGCAGAAUAAGCCACGGCUAACUACGUGCCAGCCGCCGCGGUAAAAC
rnacentral:rRNA from 1 species